rnacentral:lncRNA from 1 species
AAUUGAAAUUGGACAAGAACCACCUGAGGUCAAGACAUAACUCAUCGUACUCCUCAAGUUGUCAGAGGAAAGGAAAAAAUAUUUGAUGGCUUCAGUCAUGGAUCAGGAAAAAGUCGGAGAUAUCGAAAUCACCAAUGAACAAAUAAUAAAUGAAAAUGUUGAAAUACUAUUAAGGCUCUGGACUAACAGAGAACUGGAAUUUAAACAGGAAGAGCUGAAAUUGAAAAAAUUGUCUCUAGAGGUAAAUCAAAGAUAUAGAGAGGACCUCGAAGUUAUCCGUAUGAAGACUGAGGACCUGCUUAAUAAAACAAAACAAUAUUCAACCACAUUUGAAGAGAAUAUGGAAACUAAGAAAGUGGAAAAAACAGCAAAAGAAAAAUUAUCGGCCCCAGAUCAUUCUCAUUCAAUGCCAGGAUCAAAAAAAGAACAGCAACAACAAGAACAAGAAGCAAUAAUAGUAGAAGCAGAAGCAGAAGCAGAAGCAGAAGAAGAAGAAGAAGAAGAAGAAAGAAGAAGAAGAAGAAGAAGAGAAAGAGAUUAGUAGAGACAAAUCUACAGUUACUAGGGCUCAAAAGAUGCUAUCCAUGUUCUGCAAUAUCAAAGGAUUCUGUGGCCUGAACUUAUUUCAUUUUAAAAAACGUGAAUGACCAAAGAAAGUAUAUAAGCUGGAAAACUAUGGACAAAAG